rnacentral:rRNA from 1 species
AAUUUAAUUAUGGAAUUUAAUUUUUAGGUUAAAAAGCUAAAAUGUUUUUAUAGGACGAGAGAGACCCUAUAGAUCUUUACAGUUUAUUAAAUAUAAUGAUUUAGUGAGUUAUUUAUUAUUAUUCAAUAAUUUUGUUUGAUUGGGGUGAUUGUGGAAUUCUUUUAACUUCCAUUAUUUUUUUUCAAGGGUUAUUGUUUUUUUGAUCUCAUUAAUAAUGAUUAUAAGAUUAAGUUACCUUAGGGAUAACAGCGUAAUUUCUUCGGAGAGUUCAUAUUGAUGAAAAA